rnacentral:rRNA from 1 species
CACGUAGGGUGCGAGCGUUGUCCGGAAUUAUUGGGCGUAAAGAGCUCGUAGGCGGUGUGUCGCGUCGGCCGUGAAAACCUGCAGCUUAACUGUGGGCAUGCGGUCGAUACGGGCAUCACUGGAGUUCGGCAGGGGAGACUGGAAUUCCUGGUGUAGCGGUGAAAUGCGCAGAUAUCAGGAGGAACACCGGUGGCGAAGGCGGGUCUCUGGGCCGAUACUGACGCUGAGGAGCGAAGGCGUGGGGAGCGAACAGG